rnacentral:rRNA from 1 species
UGCGAAUGGCUCAUUAAAUCAGUUAUCGUUUAUUUGAUAGUACCUUACUACUUGGAUAACCGUGGUAAUUCUAGAGCUAAUACAUGCUAAAAAUCCCGACUUUUUGGAAGGGAUGUAUUUAUUAGAUAAAAGACCAAUGCUUCUUCGGAAGCUCUUUGGUGAUUCAUGAUAACUUUUCGAAUCGCAUGGCCUCGAGCCGGCGAUGGUUCAUUCAAAUUUCUGCCCUAUCAACUUUCGAUGGUAGGAUAGUGGCCUACCAUGGUUUCAACGGGUAACGGGGAAUUAGGGUUCGAUUCCGGAGAGGGAGCCUGAGAAACGGCUACCACAUCCAAGGAAGGCAGCAGGCACGCAAAUUACCCAAUCCCGACACGGGGAGGUAGUGACAAUAAAUAACAAUACAGGGCUUUUUAUGGUCUUGUGAUUGGAAUGAGUACAAUUUAAAUACCUUAACGAGGAACAAUUGGAGGGCAAGUCUGGUGAAAUGCUGACGCCAGAGAUAGUGGGGUCUUCGGUAAUCACUAGCUGAGGAUUAGGCCCGCUAGUCGAGUGUUCACUAAAUAAUGGGCGAACGCCGGCGAGGUAACCUGGAACGGGGAAGCCUAAGUUGCGUAAAGCAAUAUGGUGAUCCCGUGGCGAGUCGCAAGACCGUCGUAACGCGCGGAAAGGUACCGGCUAACUGGUAGUUAGCUCAAGGGACGUGCUAUUCCCACUCGAAAGAGUGUUUUCAACUGAAGCGCCCAUUACGCAAAAGUUGAUAAGAGUAAUUUGCUCGGUAGUGAAAGGCCAGCAGCCGCGGUAAUUCCAGCUCCAAUAGCGUAUAUUAAAGUUGUUGCAGUUAAAAAGCUCGUAGUUGAACCUUGGGCUUGGUCGGCCGGUCCGCCUCAUUGGUGUGCACUGACCCGACCGAGCCUUUCCUUCUGGAUCACUAUAGUGCUUUUUAUUAAGUGCUAUAGGGAGCCAGGACUUUUACUUUGAAAAAAUUAGAGUGUUCAAAGCAGGCAUACGCUCGAAUAUAUUAGCAUGGAAUAAUAGAAUAGGACGUACGGUUCUAUUUUGUUGGUUCUCUAGGACCGUCGUAAUGAUUAAUAGGGACAGUCGGGGGCAUCAGUAUUCAAUUGUCAGAGGUGAAAUUCUUGGAUUUAUUGAAGACUAACUACUGCGAAAGCAUUUGCCAAGGAUGUUUUCAUUAAUCAAGAACGAAAGUUAGGGGAUCGAAGACGAUCAGAUACCGUCGUAGUCUUAACCAUAAACUAUGCCGACUAGGGAUCGGGCGGUGUUCUUUUUUUGACCCGCUCGGCACCUUACGAGAAAUCAAAGUCU